rnacentral:lncRNA from 1 species
AUGGAGAAUGAAGACACACUAUGUCUGUUGUCUUGGUCUAAAGCCAUGAUGGAGUCCCUUCUGCCAUGGCCCCAGACGUCGGGUGAUGGGCACCGUGCAGAUGUGCCCCAAGGGCACCUGCAGCACCAGGCUGGCCUCCAUAGGGUGCAUUUACUCAUUCCCAUCGUGCCUACAGUGAUGUGGUGGUCCCAUGCUGUGCACUCCUGUUCCCCGUGGCCCUCAGUGGGGUCUGGUGGUUCACACUGUGCUCUCCAAGGCAGAGCCGUGCCCAGCAGCCAGGCUGCGCAUCCCUUGCUGUGGAAGCAGGCUCGGCUCAAGCAGCGCAGGUUGAGGGAUGCAAAUUCAGCUGGAGUUUCAGCAAGAGGUGUGAAUUCUGCUGCUUCCCCCCAUACACACACACACACGUGUGGAUUGCUGUGCCAGCAGGAAAGCCCUCCUGUUGCCCUGCUGGGAAAGGUACAGGCAAAUCUAGUCAAUACACACCCUAAGGCUGCUGCAUUUUCUGGGUCUUCACCUAGCAAAUGAGGGAGGGCUUUGGCAUCAGGAAUUUGUUGCCCACAGAAGUAAUUUAGGUUAUGCUCAAGUCAUAGAAUCGUGGAAUGGCUUGGGUUGGAAGGGACCUCAGAGAUCAUGGAAUGGCAUCUUUCGAGUAAAUUAAAUAGGUGGAACUCCUUGAGCCUCCCUGUAUGCUGUGGGUUCUGCAGACUCCAGUCAGUCCUGUAGCACUUUUUGAGGAAGCUUUAACAUUUUUUAACGUUGUUUGUGAAAGCUGAAAUUUAGAAGAGCUGUCUUGUAAU